UGACCCCGAUUGCUCCCAAGAAGAAGAAUUGCCAAAGAAGGGAAUUAGCUGAGAGAAUCACGUAGUAUGUCACUUCCCCGAGCUCAAAGUUCCUUGCUUCUACAAAAGACAGUCGCAAAGAACGACAUAACGAUCUGCAUCUCCAUAACCAAGGAGUAAGUAAUGGGUUGUUUAGCUUUCUUGAAAGUUAACUCUAUCGAUGGUAGAAUGAAGCCAUACAAAGCCGAAGCUCCUAAUGUCAUGAAAAAACCUUCAUAGUACUUGAUGUUAGAUUCAUGAUCGGGCCGAUCAGUGCUGGAAUGAAGUGCAAGAAUCACAGCACCAAUAGAAAGCAAAACCACAGCAUUGAUUGUAUAAGCAGAAAACUUUUGUUUCACCAAAAGAAACGCAAAUCCAGCAGUAAACGCUAACUGGGUGGCGAUUAUCAAAGCAGAUGUCGAAACUGGUAAACGAGACACGCCAUAAGCAGCCAGAUAAUCAUCUAAACCGGUCAAAACUCCAAGAAUUGCACAAGGAAAGAAGACAGAUGGCUUCAAAGAGAUCAGCUUGGUUUCUUGGCUUCCAUUUCUUUUUUUGUACAAAAAAGAACAAAUUAGUGGGAUGAUUAAAAACGGCCAGCCCGCUGUUAGCAAAAAGCUCGAUA
rnacentral:lncRNA from 1 species